ACGAUCGUAGCUCAGUUGGUUAGAGCACCACCUUGACAUGGUGGGGGUCGGUGGUUCGAAUCCACUCGAUCGUACCA
rnacentral:tRNA from 1 species